CCUACGGGAGGCAGCAGUGAGGAAUAUUGGUCAAUGGGCGUAAGCCUGAACCAGCCAAGUCGCGUGAGGGAUGAAGGUUCUAUGGACCGUAAACCCCUUUUACAAGGGAAUAAAGUGUGGGACGUGUCCUAUUUUGUAUGUAUCUUAUGAAUAAGGAUCGGCUAACUCCGUGCCAGCAGCCGCGGUAAUACGGAGGAUCCGAGCGUUAUCCGGAUUUAUUGGGUUUAAAGGGUGCGUAGGCGGCCUUUUAAGUCAGCGGUGAAAGUCUGUGGCUUAACCAUGGAAUUGCCGUUGAAACUGGGCGGCUUGAGUAUGUUUGAGGCAGGCGGAAUGCGUGGUGUAGCGGUGAAAUGCUUAGAUAUCACGCAGAACCCCGAUGGCGAAGGCAGCCUGCCAAGCCAUGACUGACGCUGAUGCACGAAAGCGUGGGGAUCAAACAGGAUUAGAUACCCCUGUAGUC
rnacentral:rRNA from 1 species